CACAAGAAGCAUUCAUUGAUGAAACAGAAACGGAAAAUCCACAACAAGUAUAUUUUCAAAAUACAAUUGAGACUGAAAGUACGCAGAUUUUGUACCAGACAUACAUUUGGGAAGAGAAGACUUUCCUGCACUGCCACAAAUUCAAAGUAAUGUACCAAUGCGAUCCCAGCCAGUACUAAUUGAAAAAGAAAUUGACGACAUAUUCAACACCCACAAAAAGAACCACAAGACGAAUAAAAACUAUGUGGUCCCCAAGGGAGAAGGAUCUGGUGAGGUCCCACUUCAGCAAGGAACUUCAAACGGGGAAAUUACCAAAAUUUUGUGACAUACAGGCAUUCAUUAACGAGUCACGUGGGCAAUUAAAGCCCCACCGAACAACGGCAAAGAUAUAUGCUUGGAUUCAGGCAGCGAUAAUGAGUUUAAGUUAAAUUUUAAAUUUUCUUUUUUAAAUGUUUUGUGUUAAACCAGGAUGCGUAAUAAAUAUAAUUACUCAAC